GUCGAGCGGUAGCACAAGAGAGCUUGCUCUCUGGGUGACGAGCGGCGGACGGGUGAGUAAUGUCUGGGAAACUGCCUGAUGGCGGGGGAUAACUAGUGGAAACGGUAGCUAAUACCGCAUAACGUCGCAAGACCAAAGUGGGGGACCUUCGGGCCUCACGCCAUCAGAUGUGCCCAGGUGGGAUUAGCUGGUAGGUGGGGUAACGGCUCACCUAGGCGACGAUCCCUAGCUGGUCUGAGAGGAUGACCAGCCACACUGGAACUGAGACACGGUCCAGACUCCUACGGGAGGCAGCAGUGGGGAAUAUUGCACAAUGGGCGCAAGCCUGAAGCAGCCAUGCCGCGUGUAUGAAGAAGGCCUUCGGGUUGUAAAGCACUU
rnacentral:rRNA from 1 species